CGUACACUCCUGCGGGAGGCAGCAGUGGGGAAUAUUGGACAAUGGGCGCAAGCCUGAUCCAGCCAUGCCGCGUGAGUGAUGAAGGCCCUAGGGUUGUAAAGCUCUUUCACCGGAGAAGAUAAUGACGGUAUCCGGAGAAGAAGCCCCGGCUAACUUCGUGCCAGCAGCCGCGGUAAUACGAAGGGGGCUAGCGUUGUUCGGAAUUACUGGGCGUAAAGCGCACGUAGGCGGAUCGAUCAGUCAGGGGUGAAAUCCCAGGGCUCAACCCUGGAACUGCCUUUGAUACUGUCGAUCUGGAGUAUGGAAGAGGUGAGUGGAAUUCCGAGUGUAGAGGUGAAAUUCGUAGAUAUUCGGAGGAACACCAGUGGCGAAGGCGGCUCACUGGUCCAUUACUGACGCUGAGGUGCGAAAGCGUGGGGAGCAAACAGGAUUAGAUACCCGAGUAGUCCC
rnacentral:rRNA from 1 species